UGCUGAACUCAGCCAAAAAGCUGUUAAUAACUCCAGCAGAUGUUUCAGCUUUUUAGGCCAAUAGACUCCCUCUCUCCCUGCCCUCCCCUUUCCAGAAUCUGAUGCCAAUAUGACUGAACUCCAGUUUUUGUGGUUGUUGUCGCCACCGCCGCCGCUGCUAGGGCUGGUGAUACAGUGCCGCUGAGGAAUGAUCCUUUAAACAACCACUGGCCACAGAACCUCAGCCCUCUAAGGUCAGAAUAUUAUUGCUUUUACCAUCAGAAGUUUAAAUCUUCAGGGGGAAAAUGAAGAUGUGGAAGUCGAGAUUCAAAGAUGACACAGGUAGCAAUGCUGGCCAUGAAGCUAAAGUGUCAUACCGUGCUGGCCUCUUCCUAAAACUGGUGCUUGGACAUUGCCUGCGAUGUAGAACUCACUGCCUCAGGGACAAACAAUUUCAUCUUUAACAUUUACAGAGUAUUACCACUAGACUGUCCAUCAGGGAUCUCAAAUGUAACAUGUUCAAUACUUAAUUCGUAAAGUUGUUUCAUAAUUUUGUUUCUAGUUAAUUGAGGAGCUGGGCUUACCAGAAAAGAGCAGGCAGUAAUGAGGAUAACAUUAUUCCAUCAAUAAUUAACCACAGAUUAUAUUUUAAGCAUUCAUUUUUAUUUUAUUACUAAGGCCAAAGAAAGAGGUCAGUAAAAAUUGUUACCUUAUCUCCUUGGGAUUUUCCAAGAUCACCUUGUUAGAGCUUAAUGCUCCAUUUAUGUUAGAAGACAAUUGCGUCAGUCAGAGUUCCAAGCAAAAAGCAGCUGGUACAUUCAAAAGGGUUUGAGGCAUGUUAAUGAAGGGACAUUUACAAAGGUGUGGGCAGAGUUCAGGGAAAUUAACAGAGUAGUUGUUCACCACUGCAAGCAUUUCAAGGAUAUCAAUGGUGGAGAACCAUCAGCAGCUGUAGGCAUGAGAGAGUGAGAAAGGAGCAGGUAUCAGAACCCAGGGCAAGUGAUGAUACAAAAUGACACCCCAUCCCCUGCCUCCAGAAAAACUGUGGCCUCGGGAGGAGGCAUGCUGCCUGGAAGCUCAACCAGGAGAACAGAUACCCUGACCCCACUGUCUCCACCACCCGCAGAGCUCCUGUUGGUGGCUGAGUUCUCGCUGCUACUAAUUGGAAGACAGAAGACAAGAUUCCUUAGUAACACAGCCCAGGACACAGUAUUACAUGUCGUCCAAUACAUUACCUGAGUCUUUUCUCUUCCUACUCCUCUCUGGACACUUAUCCCUACCAUAUUCUCCCAUUUCUAUCUCCCAAAUCAGCAACAGGAAGGCUAACUAGUUUGAAAGUAGCCUUAGAUAAUGAAGAGAAAUAAUAAUCCUACAGAUCUAGGAGGUUUUGCCAUGUGACAAUGUUAGCAUGUAUCUCUUGGAUUGAACAAAUUAAUUCUAAAAGAAAUUUUACGACCUUUCUUCCAUAUUUUUGUAUCAUAAUUAGCAGACCAAACUGGCUGAUAUGCAUGUAUAAAUUUUAUACGCAUACCAAUGUGUAUUAGAGACUAUUUAGUGUUCACACAUCAAAUAAACUUUUUUCUUUUGCUCUG
rnacentral:lncRNA from 10 species